rnacentral:rRNA from 1 species
AUUGAACGCUGGCGGCAUGCCUUACACAUGCAAGUCGAACGGCAGCAUGGAGAGCUUGCUCUCUGAUGGCGAGUGGCGAACGGGUGAGUAAUGCAUCGGAACGUACCGUGUAAUGGGGGAUAACGUAGCGAAAGUUACGCUAAUACCGCAUACGACCUGAGGGUGAAAGCAGGGGAUCGCAAGACCUUGCGUUAUACGAGCGGCCGAUGUCAGAUUAGCUAGUUGGUGAGGUAAAGGCUCACCAAGGCGACGAUCUGUAGCGGGUCUGAGAGGAUGAUGCGCCACACUGGGACUGAGACACGGCCCAGACUCCUACGGGAGGCAGCAGUGGGGAAUUUUGGACAAUGGGGGCAACCCUGAUCCAGCAAUGCCGCGUGUGCGAAGAAGGCCUUCGGGUUGUAAAGCACUUUUGUCAGGGAAGAAAUCUUUCAGGCUAAUACUCUGUGUGGAUGACGGUACCGGCAUAAGAAGCACCGGCUAACUACGUGCCAGCAGCCGCCGUAA